rnacentral:rRNA from 1 species
AGGUAGUGACAAUAAAUCACAAUGCAGGACUAUUUAGUUUUGCAAUUGAAUUGAGAACAAUGUACAAGAGUUAUCGAUAAACAAUUGGAGGGCAAGUCUGGUGCCAGCAGCCGCGGUAAUUCCAGCUCCAAUAGCGUAUAUUAACGUUGUUGCAGUUAAAAAGCUCGUAGUUGAAGUGUGGGAUAAUGUAUAUUGGAUCUUUUUGUGAAGGUAUAUGUUGUCCCCCCUCCAAUUUCGGUCUGUGGGUAUUCAUUUACUUGCAGUUCGUGCUGGUCAUUUACUGUGAGAAAAUUAGAGUGUUCAAAGCAGGCAUUUGCUUGAAUAUAUUAGCAUGGAAUAAUAUUAAAAGGCUUGUAUGGUCGAUUUAAUUGGUUUGUUCAUAUAAGCAAGAUUAAUAGGGACAGUUGGGGGUAUUCAUAUUCAAUAGUUAGAGGUGAAAUUCUCGGAUUUAUGGAAGAUGAACAAGUGCGAAAGCA